GAAACGCGAUAGUUAAUGUGAAUUGCAGAAUUCAGUGAAUCAUCGAGUCUUUGAACGCACAUUGCGCCCAUAGGUAUUCCUUUGGGCAUGUCUGUUUGAGCGUCAUUACAACCCUCAGCUAACCGCUGGUUUUGAACCUGAACGGGUGACACCGCGCCGGUUUUAAAGUUGUAAGCUCUGCUGGCCGUUCUGCCCAACCAGAACAUAGUAAGCACUACUUGUCCGGGUGAAGCUGAACGGUACGGCCUGAACAAAACCUACCCACUCUCAAGGUUUGACCUCAGAUCAGACAAGGAUACCCGCUGAACCUAAGC
rnacentral:misc_RNA from 1 species